rnacentral:misc_RNA from 1 species
CAUCUGUGAAAGGUGUAGGAGAGAUUGGUGAUGUAAAGAUUAUAGAUUUGCAGUCUCCAAUCAGCAGCCUUAUUGGGAAGCAGGUGAUGAAGGUUGGAAGAAGUUCUGGCUUGACCACAGGAACUGUAUUGGCCUAUGCCCUUGAGUACAACGACGAAAAAGGCAUAUGCUUCUUAACUGAUUUUCUUGUUGUAGGUGAGAACCAGCAGACUUUUGACCUUGAAGGGGAUAGUGGAAGCCUCAUCAUAAUGAAAGGUC